rnacentral:rRNA from 1 species
AGAGUUUGAUCCUGGCUCAGAACGAACGCUGGCGGCAGGCUUAAUACAUGCAAGUCGAACGGUUGUAGCAAUACAGCAGUGGCAGACGGGUGAGUAACACGUGGGAACCUACCUAGGGGUACGGAAUAACUCAGGGAAACUUGUGCUAAUACCGUAUACGACCUCAGGGUGAAAGAUUUAUCGCCCCUAGAUGGGCCCGCGUUGGAUUAGCUAGUUGGUGAGGUAAAAGCUCACCAAGGCGACGAUCCAUAGCUGGUCUGAGAGGAUGAUCAGCCACACUGGGACUGAGACACGGCCCAUACUCCUACGGGAGGCAGCAGUAGGGAAUCUUGGACAAUGGGCGAAAGCCUGAUCCAGCCAUGCCGCGUGAGUGAUGAAGGCCUUAGGGUUGUAAAGCUCUUUCGCCAGCGAAGAUAAUGACGGUACCUGGAUAAGAAGCCCCGGCUAACUUCGUGCCAGCAGCCGCGGUAAUACGAAGGGGGCUAGCGUUGUUCGGAAUUACUGGGCGCAAAGCGCACGUAGGCGGUUUUCCAAGUUGGAGGUGAAAUCCCCGGGCUUAACC